UUGGAUUUGAUUUUGUUUUCGUGUGUUUGAGUUUUUUUAGGUAUGCAUUGCUUUUGAUGGAAGUACUGACAGCGUCUACUGAUGGAUGCUGAUGAAGACGAGAAAGAUUAACAUCUACUGAAGGAUGUUGAUGAGAAAGAUUCACAUCUACUGAUGGAUGCUGCAAGAGUUUGAGAUAACAUUUACUGAUGGAUGUUACUACGGAAGAAGAUGGUGACUAGACAUCUACUGGUGGAUGUUAGGUGAUUAGGCAUCUACUGAUGGGUGCCAAUGAAGAUGAGAAAGAUUGGUGUCUACUGAGGGAUACCAAUGAAGACAAGAAAAAUUAGCAUCUAUUGAUGGACGCUAUGUGAUUAAACAUCUAUUGAUGGAUGUUACCAACAACAUCUACUG
rnacentral:lncRNA from 1 species